GGAAUUUUGGACAAUGGGCGAAAGCCUGAUCCAGCAAUGCCGCGUGAGUGAAGAAGGCCUUCGGGUUGUAAAGCUCUUUUGUCAGGGAAGAAACGGUGAGGGCUAAUAUCCCUUGCUAAUGACGGUACCUGAAGAAUAAGCACCGGCUAACUACGUGCCAGCAGCCGCGGUAAUACGUAGGGUGCAAGCGUUAAUCGGAAUUACUGGGCGUAAAGCGUGCGCAGGCGGUUUUGUAAGUCUGAUGUGAAAUCCCCGGGCUCAACCUGGGAAUUGCAUUGGAGACUGCAAGGCUAGAAUCUGGCAGAGGGGGGUAGAAUUCCACGUGUAGCAGUGAAAUGCGUAGAUAUGUGGAGGAACACCGAUGGCGAAGGCAGCCCCCUGGGUCAAGAUUGACGCUCAUGCACGAAAGCGUGGGGAGCAAACAGGAUUAGAUACCCCGG
rnacentral:rRNA from 1 species